UACAGAGGUGCCGAGCGUUUAGGCGGAAUCACUGGGCUUAAAGCGUGUGUAGGCGGAUGCCUAAGUACCUUGUGAAAUCCCACGGCUUAACCGUGGAACUGCUCGGUAUACUGGGUGUCUUGAGCCACUUAGGGGUUACCGGAACAAAUGGUGGAGCGGUGAAAUGCGUAGAUAUCAUUUGGAACGCCAAUGGUGAAAACAGGUAACUGGGAGUGUGCUGACGCUGAGACACGAAAGCCAGGGGAGCGAACGGGG
rnacentral:rRNA from 1 species